rnacentral:rRNA from 1 species
GACGAACGCUGGCGGCGUGGAUUAGGCAUGCAAGUCGAACGGUAUCAUCCUUUCGGGGGUGAGAGAGUGGCGAACUGGUGAGUAACACGUAGGUUAUCUACCCUCAAGACGGGGACAACCCAGGGAAACUUGGGCUAAUACCGGAUGUGAGCAACUUUUAGUUGUUUGAAAGGUGGCGUAAGCUGUCGCUUGGGGAUGAGCCUGCGUCCUAUUAGUUAGUUGGUGAGGUAACGGCUCACCUAGGCAAUGAUAGGUAGGCGGCCUUAACGGGUGGUCGCCCACACUGGGAUUGAGAUACGGCCCAGACUCCUACGGGAGGCAGCAGUCGAGAAUAGUCUACAAUGGUCGGAAGACUGAUAGUGCGACGCCGCGUGAACGAUGAAUCCCUUCGGGGUGUAAAGUUCUUUUAUAUGUGAGCAGUGCUUCUUAUAUUAACAGUAUGGGGAGAGAGAUAUUAGCAUAUGAAUAAGCAACGGCUAACUCCGUGCCAGCAGCCGCGGUAAUAC